AACUUGACCCAAGACCAUCUCUUGUCAUAAAACAGCAAUCCUCCAACGCUAGACGUGGUCCUCCUACUGUUCACUGAGCAGUCAGAGCGCUGAAGAGCCGCAGGGACAUUUGAAUGGGGCUGCUGUUAUUCCUGAUGGGGGCGGCAUGGCUGGGCCACAGCGCAGACAGAACCACAUCACCGAGGCAAAGAGAACCGUAAGGGGAUUGACACUUCAUCACCUGACUCUCAACUCAUGGCCCAGCCUUUCCUCCAUGAAGUAAGAGUAAAGCAUUUUCAAAUGCAAGCUGUUCUCCAGAGGAGACUUGCCGUAUGUUCAAGUCCCGACACGGACCAGGACCCGCGUGCCAUCAGGAGCCUCAGUCCCUCCUCUGCAAGUGGAGACAGUGUCAGGUGCCCGCGAAGGUGUUGUGAGGACUGCCUACGUCACUCAGGGAAAGUGUUAUAUUUCCCUGUCUCUUUAGGAGCGUGUGAAGAACUCAGCCCAACAAGAGAACAAGCCACACCUGAUAAAGUUUCCUACCCGUGUUCUUCUGUGCCUUCAGACAAGACCUGGCUUGAAUUUGCUGCCUUUUCCAUGGGCCCGGCAUUCCCCGUGAAUGACAAUGACACGAAGCCCCCAUCUGCUCCCGCUUAUCACAGCUCCGCCCCGUGUGCUGUCACGUUGUCAACACAAAGACAAGGUCCGUCGGUGACCUCUGAUAGGGUAAGGACAGCGCUGGGAAGCAGCGGCACGAGUCAUUUUGUAGGUCACCCUCCUAGAAACCUCUGGCAAGCACAGGAGUCAUGUUCCUUCAGUAUGAGAAACCGAGUCGCCCUGUUGCUCCAUUAG
rnacentral:lncRNA from 1 species